rnacentral:rRNA from 1 species
UACAGAAGUCUCAAGCGUUGUUCGGAUUCAUUGGGCGUAAAGGGUGCGUAGGCGGCGCGGUAAGUCGGGUGUGAAAUCUCGGAGCUUAACUCCGAAACUGCAUUCGAUACUGCCGUGCUUGAGGACUGGAGAGGAGACUGGAAUUUACGGUGUAGCGGUGAAAUGCGUAGAUAUCGUAAGGAAGACCAGUGGCGAAGGCGGGUCUCUGGACAGUUCCUGACGCUGAGGCACGAAGGUCAGGGGAGCAAACGGG